rnacentral:rRNA from 1 species
GACGAACGCUGGCGGCGUGCCUAAUACAUGCAGGUCGAGCGGACCAAACAGGAGCUUGCUCUUGUUUGGUUAGCGGCGGACGGGUGAGUAACACGUGGGUAACCUGCCCGUAAGACUGGGAUAACUCCGGGAAACCGGAGCUAAUACCGGAUAACACCGAAGACCGCAUGGUCUUUGGUUGAAAGGCGGCUUCGGCUGCCACUUACGGAUGGGCCCGCGGCGCAUUAGCUAGUUGGUGAGGUAACGGCUCACCAAGGCGACGAUGCGUAGCCGGCCUGAGAGGGUGACCGGCCACACUGGGACUGAGACGCGGCCCAGACUCCUACGGGAGGCAGCAGUAGGGAAUCUUCCGCAAUGGACGAAAGUCUGACGGAGCGACGCCGCGUGAGCGAAGAAGGUCUUCGGAUCGUAAAGCUCUGUUGUUAGGGAAGAAGAAGCGCCGUUCGAACAGGGCGGCGCGGUGACGGUACCUAACGAGAAAGCCCCGGCUAACUACGUG